rnacentral:rRNA from 1 species
AUACGGAGGGGGCUAGCAUUGUUCGGAAUUACUGGGCGUAAAGCGCGCGUAGGCGGAUUGAUAAGUUGGUGGUGAAAGCCCAGGGCCCAACCCUGGAACUGCCUCCAAAACUGUCUCUCUUGAGUCCGGAAGAGGUGAGUGGAAUUCCUAGUGUAGAAGUGGAAUUCGUAGAUAAUAGGAAGAACACCGAUUGCGAAGGCAGCUUACUAAACUAUUACUGACGCUGAUGCACGAAAGCGUGGGGAGCGAACAGGAUUAGAAACCCUAGUAGUCC